GCCAAAUAAAUUGAGAGGGAUAUGAUGAAUUCGAAAACAAUUUGAGGAUGAUAGUAGAUGUACGAGAUGUAGCUGAAGCACUGCUAUUGGCAUAUGAGAAGCCCGAAGCCGAAGGAAGGUAUAUAUAUGCACAGCUUACAUGAUCAAGUCACAAGAUCUGGUGGAAAUACUCAGGAAAAACUACCCGAACUACAAUUAUCCUAAGAAAUUUACUGAGGGAAAGGAAGAAGAAAAGCUCAGUUCAGAGAAAUUGCAGAAGCUGGGUUGGAGUUACAGACCGAUAGAAGAAACUCUGGUUGAUUCCAUUGAAAUCUGUAGACUAGCCGGACUUCUGGACUAAAUGAUCUUGGCAUUCUGUUGUAGUUUUUACAAGUUGUAUCAUCAAGCAUUCUCAUAUCCAGAACCUCUUUGUUCUAUAGAUGUUGUAUUGGGUAUUGUUGUAAACGAUCCUUGUUCAUUUUGCAAUAGCGUUGCGACUCAUGACUCCAGUUAAUUUGAAAUAUGGUAUUUGAACACUGCAAUUAAUGUUACACGAUUACAU